AGGCUCAUCUUCAAAUACAUGUAUUCUUGAACCCCUCGUUUUCAAAGAUUGUGCAGCGUUGUGUCCAUGAACUUCCAGAGUUUGCAUUAAAAAGUGACAGAACAUCAGAGUGCCAGAAGCUUCUCAUAUUGUGGCCCUGAAGGGAUUGCUAGAACUUGUACUGGAAAAUCCCAGUUUCACUGGCAAAGAGUUUUGCUACAGUAAGAAAAUUUGUCAGUGUGGUUGGUGGGGUUGAAAACCAAAAUAUUCUGUGAUCUGCUGAGCUGUGACUAGAGUAGAACAAACGUUCAUGUGUUCCUGUUCUGUGCCAUUCCGUCAGUCCAUCCCAGCACAGCAGAGGCUGUGCAAGCCCUACAUCCUGCAGAUGUUUGUGAAAACAGGCAUAAGGCUGGAGCAAUGAUAUGAAGUUUUCCUCACGGCAGUCUUACUAUUUCCAGCGUUCUGGAGUUCAGGGACUGCUGUUUAUAGCUGCAUCACUGUGUUUAAGAAUUUCUGAUGGACAUUUCUUGUUUGAAUUUCCUUCUGAACCCACACACAAUUUUAACAUCUAAAUAUGUUUUAAUUAAGUAGGAAGCAUAUAAAGAGAAAUAUAUUUCCAUAUACCCUCUGGUUUGUAAUUUCCCAGAUUGAUCCCUAACUGAUGUAGUAUGGGAAAAGGUGACUUUAUUCCCAAUUCAUCUUUUCCAUGUUAAAGCAUGUUUUUAUAGGUUUCUCACAAAUUCUCUCGCAAGCUUUCCUGUCCUAAUCAAAGGAAUCUUAUCUAAUUAAUUUUUCAAAAACCAUUCAAAACUGUUGUUGUCAUUAUUAUUUUUCCCUCUAUUAUUCUGUAAUACCACAUUUGAAAUCCAACACUGAGAAGUAUUCAUGAAUCAGGGGUGCUGUGUAUAAAUAAUGUUUUUCCAUUCCUCGCCUAAGCAUUGAGUUAAUGUUUACUGUCCAUAAUCACUCUCCCACUUUGCUAAGUGAUAAUA